GCCGGGCGAGGUGGCGGGCGCCUGUAGUCCCAGCUACACGGGAGGCUGAGGUAGGAGAAUGGCGUAAACCCGGGAGGCGGAGCUUACAGUGAGCUGAGAUCCGGCCACUGCACUCCAGCCUGGGCGACAGAGCGAGACUCCGUCUCAAAAAAAAAAAAAAAAAAAAUCACUCUGUCCCACAGGCUGGAGUGCAGUGGCUCAAUCUCGGCUCACUGCAACCUCCGCCUCCCGGGUUCAAGCGAUUCUCCUGUCUCCA
rnacentral:SRP_RNA from 1 species